AGCCUAGCUUAAAACCAAAGGACUUGGCGGUGCUUAAUAACCCCCUAGAGGAGCCUGUUCUAGAACCGAUAACCCUCGUUAAACCUCACCCUUUCUUGCUUAUCCCGCCUAUAUACCGCCGUCGUCAGCUUACCCUAUGAAGGUAAAAUAGUAAGCAAAACUAGUACAACUUAAAACGUCAGGUCGAGGUGUAGCGAAUGAAAGGGGAAGAAAUGGGCUACAUUUCCUGCCAGCAGGAAAAACGAAAAGUACAAUGAAAUUUAUACUAGAAGGAGGAUUUAGUAGUAAGAAGGGAAUAGAGCGCCCUCCUGAAAACGGCCCUUAAGCGCGCACACACCGCCCGUCACUCUCCCA
rnacentral:rRNA from 1 species